CUUCCGGUAGCUCAGUCGGACGAGCGAGUAUGUUCAAGUCAUACUGAGGCUGGUUCGAGUCCAGCCCGGAGGG
rnacentral:tRNA from 1 species